UAACUGGUCUGAGAGGAUGAUCAGUCACACUGGAACUGAGACACGGUCCAGACUCCUACGGGAGGCAGCAGUGGGGAAUAUUGGACAAUGGGCGAAAGCCUGAUCCAGCCAUGCCGCGUGUGUGAAGAAGGUCUUCGGAUUGUAAAGCACUUUAAGUUGGGAGGAAGGGCAGUAAGUUAAUACCUUGCUGUUUUGACGUUACCAACAGAAUAAGCACCGGCUAACUUCGUGCCAGCAGCCGCGGUAAUACGAAGGGUGCAAGCGUUAAUCGGAAUUACUGGGCGUAAAGCGCGCGUAGGUGGUUCAGCAAGUUGGAUGUGAAAUCCCCGGGCUCAACCUGGGAACUGCAUCCAAAACUACUGAGCUAGAGUACGGUAGAGGGUGGUGGAAUUUCCUGUGUAGCGGUGAAAUGCGUAGAUAUAGGAAGGAACACCAGUGGCGAAGGCGACCACCUGGACUGAUACUGACACUGAGGUGCGAAAGCGUGGGGAGCAAACAGGAUUA
rnacentral:rRNA from 1 species